GAUGAACGCUGGCGGCGUGCUUAACACAUGCAAGUCGAACGGUGAACACGGAGCUUGCUCUGUGGGAUCAGUGGCGAACGGGUGAGUAACACGUGAGCAACCUGCCCCUGACUCUGGGAUAAGCGCUGGAAACGGCGUCUAAUACUGGAUAUGUGACGUGACCGCAUGGUCUGCGUUUGGAAAGAUUUUUCGGUUGGGGAUGGGGUCGCGGCCUAUCAGCUUGUUGGUGAGGUAUUGGCUCACCAAGGCUUCGACGGGUAGCCGGCCUGAGAGGGUGACCGGCCACACUGGGACUGAGAGACGGCCCAGACUGCAACGGGAGGCAGCAGUGGGGAAUAUUGCACAAUGGGCGCAAGCCUGAUGCAGCAACGCCGCGUGAGGGAAGACGGCCUUCGGGGUGUAAACCACUUUUAGCAGGGAAGAAGCGAAAGUGACGGUACCUGCAGAAAAAGCGCCGGCUAACUACGUG
rnacentral:rRNA from 1 species